rnacentral:rRNA from 1 species
CCUACGGGCGGCUGCAGUGGGGAAUAUUGGACAAUGGGGGCAACCCUGAUCCAGCAAUGCCGCGUGUGUGAAGAAGGCCUGCGGGUUGUAAAGCACUUUCAGUAGGGAAGAAAAGCUCGGAGUUAAUACCUCCGGGUCUUGACGUUACCUAAAGAAGAAGCACCGGCUAACUCCGUGCCAGCAGCCGCGGUAAUACGGAGGGUGCAAGCGGUAAUCGGAAUUACUGGGGGUGAAGCGCACGCAGGCGUGCGAAAGCCCUGGGCUUAACCUGGGAACUGCAUUCGAUACUGUCUGGCUAGAGUAUGGGAGAGGGAAGCGGAAUUUCCGGUGUAGCGGUGAAAUGCGUAGAUAUUGGGAGGAACACCGGUGGCGAAGGCGGCUUUCCGGACUAGUACUGACGCUGAGGCGCGAAAGCUAGGGGAGCGAACGGGAUUAGAUACCCCUGUAGUC